GUGGGGAAUAUUGGACAAUGGGCGCAAGCCUGAUCCAGCCAUGCCGCGUGAGUGAAGAAGGCCCUAGGGUUGUAAAGCUCUUUCAGCAGGGAAGAUGAUGACGGUACCUGCAGAAGAAGCCCCGGCUAACUCCGUGCCAGCAGCCGCGGUAAUACGGAGGGGGCUAGCGUUGUUCGGAAUUACUGGGCGUAAAGGGCAUGUAGGCGGAUCGGCCAGUCAGAGGUGAAAGCCCUGGGCUCAACCCAGGAACUGCCUUUGAUACUGUCGAUCUAGAGUCCGGGAGAGGAUAGUGGAAUUCCCAGUGUAGAGGUGAAAUUCGUAGAUAUUGGGAAGAACACCAGUGGCGAAGGCGGCUAUCUGGACCGGUACUGACGCUAAGGUGCGAAAGCGUGGGGAGCAAACAGGAUUAGAUACCCCGGUAGUCC
rnacentral:rRNA from 1 species